UUUAUUCUAUGUUCUUGGUUGGACUUCUUCUUUGUUAUUAAGCAAGUUUAACCACACAAUACGAGAUUGAGCUUUAAUAUUUGCUCAUUUGAUGGACUUUAUUUCUUACAAAUACUUUUGAUUCUCCAUUUUAUAAUCCUUGUGUUCAAUUAAACCUUUGUGAUUUGAUGUGCCUUAGAUCCUGAAAGGCUUUGCUUCAAAUGCUUCCAGAAAGAUAUUGGUAUUGGCUUUGCUUGUUUAUCUAUAUGCAUAGUGUUGGCACGUACUUAUGAUUUUAUUUAUUUAUUUAUUUUUUUGACAUGCAUGAAGGAGGAGUCUUGGUAUAAUGUUGAGCAUGGUUGUUGGUGUUUAAUUAUGCUCUUUUUUAUUUUUGUUUUUCAGUUAUACCCCUCUUUUUCAUCUCCUUUCUCUGGGGUGCUAUAAUUGUCUUCACCCUUGGCAUAUAUGUAGGGGAGAGUUAUUGUUCAAAUGCACAAGAUGAUAUGAUCAUAUUGAUUGUUUUUUUUUUCUUUCCCAUUAUUCUGUUAUUUGUUAGUCUUUUUUAAUCAUGGUAUAAAAAAUAAAAUUAAAAAUUAAAAAAUCCGAAAAAGUAUUUGUUUUCAAACACAGUGUUGUUUUAUGCCUCUUUGUCAUUUGUGGAGCUAGGUUUUGCUUCUUCUUGGACAUUAUACUUGUGCAUUGCACCUACUUUAUUGCUCUUCCAAGAGGAUUAUACUUCUUUUGAUAUGGUAGACAAUGUGAACGACAAUAUGUCGAUAAGAAGACAAGUGUUUGAAAAGAUAAGACUUUUGCACCUGUUGCACAAUUGGAAUUGGUGAGGUUAUUGCUCGUUGUCAUUUGUCAAGCCAAAUGGACAUCAAAAGUGCCUUCCUUAGUAGUGCUUUCAAGUAACCAUACAUGUUGAGCAAUCCACAGUCACAACAAGAUAAAGCCCCUUAAAUGCUUCAUUGGUUAAUCUCUAUGCCUUUAUAUGUUGGGAUUGCAAACUGAUUUUUUCCUUCUAUUGUUGCUAUUAUAUAUGCUCCCCUUAUCCUUUGGAUUUCCUGACAAAAAGGGGGGAGAGAUGAUUGUGUGAGAUUAUGAUAAAAAGAGGGAGAGAUUGUGUUGUAGAAUUAAGGGGGAGUGAUGUUGAAAUUUUGCUUUGAAUUACAUUUCUUCUCCCACAUACUUCACUGGUUUUGUUGUUUCAUGAUGUGCA
rnacentral:lncRNA from 1 species